rnacentral:tRNA from 1 species
GCCCGCAUAGCUCAAUGGUAGAGCGCGUCACUAGUAAUGACGAGGUUGCCAGGUAAAUUUACACAUCCCCAUUCCGGCCUGAGAAUUUCUAACAAACAAUCCUAGUUCGAUUCUGUCUGUGGGCA